GAUGAACGCUGGCGGCGUGCCUAAUACAUGCAAGUCGAGCGAACGGACGAGAAGCUUGCUUCUCUGAUGUUAGCGGCGGACGGGUGAGUAACACGUGGAUAACCUACCUAUAAGACUGGGAUAACUUCGGGAAACCGGAGCUAAUACCGGAUAAUAUUUUGAACCGCAUGGUUCAAAAGUGAAAGACGGUCUUGCUGUCACUUAUAGAUGGAUCCGCGCUGCAUUAGCUAGUUGGUAAGGUAACGGCUUACCAAGGCAACGAUGCAUAGCCGACCUGAGAGGGUGAUCGGCCACACUGGAACUGAGACACGGUCCAGACUCCUACGGGAGGCAGCAGUAGGGAAUCUUCCGCAAUGGGCGAAAGCCUGACGGAGCAACGCCGCGUGAGUGAUGAAGGUCUUCGGUUCGUAAAACUCUGUUAUUAGGGAAGAACAUAUGAGUAAGUAACUGUGCACAUCUUGACGGUACCUAAUCAGAAAGCCACGGCUAACUACGUG
rnacentral:rRNA from 1 species